rnacentral:rRNA from 1 species
GACAGAGGGUGCAAGCGUUGUUCGGAAUCAUUGGGCGUAAAGGGCGCGUAGGCGGUUUUGUAAGUCGAAUGUGAAAGCCCAGGGCUCAACCUUGGAAGUGCAUCCGAAACUGCGAAACUUUGAAUCCUGGAGAGGGUGGUGGAAUUCCCAGUGUAGAGGUGAAAUUCGUAGAUAUUGGGAGGAACACCGGUGGCGAAGGCGAACCACCUGGACAGAGAUUGACGCUGAGGCGCGAGAGCGUGGGGAGCAAACAGG